AGUGAACGCUGGCGGUAGGCCUAACACAUGCAAGUCGAACGGCAGCACAGUAAGAGCUUGCUCUUACGGGUGGCGAGUGGCGGACGGGUGAGGAAUACAUCGGAAUCUACUUUUUCGUGGGGGAUAACGUAGGGAAACUUACGCUAAUACCGCAUACGACCUACGGGUGAAAGCAGGGGAUCUUCGGACCUUGCGCGAUUGAAUAAGCCGAUGUCGGAUUAGCUAGUUGGCGGGGUAAAGGCCCACCAAGGCGACGAUCCGUAGCUGGUCUGAGAGGAUGAUCAGCCACACUGGAACUGAGACACGGUCCAGACUCCUACGGGAGGCAGCAGUGGGGAAUAUUGGACAAUGGGCGCAAGCCUGAUCCAGCCAUGCCGCGUGGGUGAAGAAGGCCUUCGGGUUGUAAAGCCCUUUUGUUGGGAAAGAAAAGCAGCAGGUUAAUACCCCGCUGUUCUGACGGUACCCAAAGAAUAAGCACCGGCUAACUUCGU
rnacentral:rRNA from 1 species